UACGAAGGGGGCUAGCGUUGCUCGGAAUCACUGGGCGUAAAGCGCACGUAGGCGGCUUUUUAAGUCAGGGGUGAAAUCCUGGAGCUCAACUCCAGAACUGCCUUUGAUACUGAGAGCUUGAGUCCGGGAGAGGUGAGUGGAACUGCGAGUGUAGAGGUGAAAUUCGUAGAUAUUCGCAAGAACACCAGUGGCGAAGGCGGCUCACUGGCCCGGUACUGACGCUGAGGUGACGAAAGCGGUGGGGAGCGAACAGG
rnacentral:rRNA from 1 species